CAGCAGCCACGGUAAGACAGAGGAUGCAAGCGUUAUCCGGAAUGAUUGGGCGUAAAGCGUCUGUAGGUGGCUUUUCAAGUCCGCCGUCAAAUCCCAGGGCUCAACCCUGGACAGGCGGUGGAAACUACCAAGCUGGAGUACGGUAGGGGCAGAGGGAAUUUCCAGUGGAGCGGUGAAAUGCGUUGGGAUCGAAAAGAACACCAACAGCGAAAGCACUCUGCUGGGACGACACUGACACUAAGAGACGAAAGCUAGGGGAGCAAAUGGGAUUAGAGACCCCCGUAGUCCCUGUCUCUUAUAC
rnacentral:rRNA from 1 species